GGCCUACGAGCCCCAACGCUCCCACACCGACUGUUGUGAAGACACACGGGCGGUGGCUGUGCUAUGGAGGUAAAGUGUCUGGAUGGAGAUUGUGUGUUUUAAACAUGAGGAACUCCAAAGGGACCAUGAGGCAAUACGCUGCAAACUGCUGCAGUGUGCAUGUGUGACUUCUCCAUGUGGUUUAGCUGCAGUGGGGAAAUGCCCUUUACCCCCUAACUAAUCGAGAUGAAUUCUAAUUGGACUCUUUUGGUCAGUUGUAUCUGCUGCCAAGCAAGUGCUAAGUAAGGUCACGCAUUUCAGUUUCUGCCUCUUAUUUUCUGUGUUUAUUACUAUUUUGUUACAUUUACUGUUUUACUUUUCAACCAUCCGAACCAUGCACAUAUUGAAGCACCUGCAGCUUCCAGAUACUUUUCCAAAUGUUUUCACUUGCAAAAAUGUGAUUAUCACAUCAGGUAUAGAUCAGCUCUGAUAUCAACCUUUUUAAACCGAUUGGGUUCCGGACAGAGAACCUAUGAGAUUUAUUUUUAAGCAAUUUUUUAAAUGUGUAUGUAUUUCUAUUUUUAAAUAUUGCAGUAAAUAUGAGUCUCAAAAUGUUGCAUGAUUAUGAAUUGGUUUGAAUAUUUUGUAAAUUAGCGAUUAAAUCACGUGAUGAUGUACUGUCA